rnacentral:pre_miRNA from 1 species
CUCGGGGGUGGGGGGCGCUCAGCCAGGAUUGCGAGAGAGCGCAGGCCAGGCUGAGGGAACUCACCAGUGCAUG